CGGGGUCGGGCCCGGCCGGGGCGGGGAGCGGUGUAAACACUCCGGAGCGUGCACCCGCGUGCGGGGCGCGCACGUGCGUCCGCCACCCCCUGCGGGCGUGGGCCGCCCCGGGCCUCGCGCAGCCCCACGCAGGCUUCCCCGGCGCGGCUGGGCCGGCGCGGGACGGCGCUCGCUCCUGGCUCCAGCUGCAGUUUCUCGGCUCGACGUCACGUUUUAAACGCUGCGAGCCCCGGAGGCUGCUUGACAAAAAGCCAGGCGGGCAGGUUCGGAGGAAUAAAACGUCUCUCCACGGACAGAAACGUAUCCGCGUGGACGUUGUGUGUGCUCAGGAGAUAAAGAUGGAAACGCUGCCAAGCUGCCUCCCAUUUUAAAAUAUAUAUAUAUAUAUGCCUUAAAAACGGGGCGAUGCCGGGCUGCUCCGCGCCGCCUUUGCGCUGUGGGUUGACGUGCGGGAGUGGGUGAUAGCAUACAUGGGAAAACAGAACUGUGCAGCGUUGUGGACGCUUAGGCUAGACCGUCAGCCGCCGAGCCCUGCCCGCAACCUGGAGUCCCAGCGCUCUCUCUCUGUGAUCACUUCUUUCCGUUCUCGACCACAGUUUCACUGCUCGGCGAAAAGAAUACACUUGUUCCAGAGGUGGCCCGUCACCUCUCCCGCCGCCCAGUAGCCAGGUUAUUAACAUUGAACUGGGCUUCGCAUCCGGUCAAACUUCGGCUGGUUUCAGAGCAGAUUCCAGCUGCCUUUUGAGCUUAGCUAUAUGCACAGUCAAAGGAAAUGUGGAGAAAGGAAGAAAGCUGGCGUGAUAAGCUGUUCUUCAGUGAAAAUAUGAAAACUAUGCCCACCAUCCUAUCAUAACCCAUGCUGCUGCAGUUUCAAUUUCUGUUUCUCCCAGGGACAACUGCCAAUAAACAUGAAAAAUGGAUGGCAUUGUUGUGACUUCCCUCCAACCUCAGCUGACACGUUCAUCUUCCCACCAGGCACUGUCCCUCACACCGAUCAAAGGCUGAUCACAGUGGGUACUCAACAAGUAUUUGUUAGACCAUCAACAUCAUCCGGCAGGAAUAAUGGAGAAAGACAGAGGGAGUUUUCUUUUUUUGGUUUUUUGAGACAGGGUUUCUCUGUGUAG